rnacentral:rRNA from 1 species
GACGAACGCUGGCGGCGUGCUUAACACAUGCAAGUCGAACGGAAAGGCCCUGCUUUUGUGGGGUGCUCGAGUGGCGAACGGGUGAGUAACACGUGAGUAACCUGCCCUUGACUUUGGGAUAACUUCAGGAAACUGGGGCUAAUACCGGAUAGGAGCUCCUGCUGCAUGGUGGGGGUUGGAAAGUUUCGGCGGUUGGGGAUGGACUCGCGGCUAUCAGCUUGUUGGUGGGGUAGUGGCUUACCAAGGCUUUGACGGGUAGCCGGCCUGAGAGGGUGACCGGCCACAUUGGGACUGAGAUACGGCCCAGACUCGUACGGGAGGCAACAGUGGGGAAUAUUGCACAAUGGGCGGAAGCCUGAUGCAGCAACGCCGCGUGCGGGAUGACGGCCUUCGGGUUGUAAACCGCUUUCGCCUGUGACGAAGCGUGAGUGACGGUAAUGGGUAAAGAAGCACCGGCUAACUACGUG